AAGUCGAACGCAGUAGCAAUACUGAGUGGCAAACGGGUGAGUAUAAUGUGGGAAUCUGCCCUCAGGAGGGGAUAACGGCUGGAAACGGCCGCUAAUACCCCAUAUACCGAGAGGUGAAAUGAAUUUCGCCUGAGGAUGAGCUCGCGUCUGAUUAGCUAGUUGGUGUGGUAAAGGCUCACCAAGGCAUCGAUCAGUAGCUGGUCUGAGAGGAUGAUCAGCCACACUGGGACUGAGACACGGCCCAGACUCC
rnacentral:rRNA from 1 species